rnacentral:rRNA from 1 species
UACGACGGGGGGUAGCGUUGCUCGGAAUCACUGGGCGUAAAGCGCACGUAGGCGGAUUGCUAAGUCAGGGGUGAAAUCCUGGAGCUCAACUCCAGAACUGCCUUUGAUACUGGCGACCUUGAGUCCGGGAGAGGUGAGUGGAACUGCGAGUGUAGAGGUGAAAUUCGUAGAUAUCGAGAAGAACACCGGUGGCGAAGGCGGCCAACUGGACGGUGACUGACACUGAGACGCGAAAGCGUGGGGAGCAAACAGG